CGGACGGGUGAGUAACGCGUGGGUAACCUUCCUUGUACUGGGGGACAACAGUUAGAAAUGACUGCUAAUACCGCAUAAGCGCACAGUAUCGCAUGAUACAGUGUGAAAAACUCCGGUGGUACAAGAUGGACCCGCGUCUGAUUAGCUAGUUGGUAAGGUAACGGCUUACCAAGGCGACGAUCAGUAGCUGACCUGAGAGGGUGACCGGCCACAUUGGGACUGAGACACGGCCCAA
rnacentral:rRNA from 1 species